rnacentral:rRNA from 1 species
AUGGUUCACCCUGCUGAGCCAAAUGGAGUGCAGGAUCAUGUGGAAGAGAUCAUACCUGAGGGGCCUUGCGUGCCACAAGAAGUGCCUUUGCAGCCGCUUGACACAGUCGUGCAUGGCCACGUACCUCCGGAGCGAGAUCCCCUGGAGUAUCCUCUUGAGGUCCGGUAUGUCCUUCUCCGCCACCACCACCGAGAAGGCGCUCCAGUCGAGCACGUCGCUGAAGGGGAGCACGAAGUUGUCGGCGAUGAUCACUGGCACGCACUCGUAGUACAGGGCCUCCACGAUCCUUGGGCUGUUCACCUCGUACCCCAUGGGGCACAGGCAGAACCUGCUGUUCUUCAUGUGGUCGAUGUAGGUCAUCGUCCUGGACACCCUACCGGGGAGGAGAGCGUACACCCUCAUGUCCUCGUCCUGCCCCUUGCCCCAAUGCUGGAGGAGGACCGGCCUGACCCUGCCGUGCACGUUGCCCGCAAAGAAGGCGAGGAUGCGCCGCCGGGAGAUGGGGAGCCCGCCGAGGUACCGGAGGGGCCGCUUGGGCGUCCUGAUGGUCGUCUCCGGGAGAGACACGUCUUUCCCGGGCGUGAAGAUCCCCUCCGAGCUGUCGGCGUUGCACAGCGCCUUGAUGCUGUUCCUGGAGAGGUCGCGGUGCGCCGUGGUCGUGUAUGGUCCCUGCAACCAAAUUCAGAAUUACUCCAGUAA